rnacentral:ncRNA from 2 species
CCCAUUAAAUCUGAACAGGCGGUAAACCACACAAAGGUUUAUGCAGCCGGUCCACCUUUGUGUGGUAGCAGCGUUGUGCAAAAAGGCACACCUGUGGGACAGUA